rnacentral:rRNA from 1 species
AUUGAACGCUGGCGGAAUGCUUUACACAUGCAAGUCGAACGGCAGCACGGGGCAACCUGGUGGCGAGUGGCGAACGGGUGAGUAAUACAUCGGAACGUGCCCAAUCGUGGGGGAUAACGUAGCGAAAGUUACGCUAAUACCGCAUACGAUCUACGGAUGAAGGCGGGGGAUCGCAAGACCUCGCGCGAAUGGAGCGGCCGAUGUCAGAUUAGGUAGUUGGUGGGGUAAAGGCUCACCAAGCCAACGAUCUGUAGCUGGUCUGAGAGGACGACCAGCCACACUGGGACUGGGACACGGCCCAGACUCCUACGGGAGGCAGCAGUGGGGAAUCUUGGACAAUGGGCGCAAGCCUGAUCCAGCCAUUCCGCGUGCAGGAUGAAGGCCUUCGGGUUGUAAACUGCUUUUGUACGGAACGAAACGGCUCUCUCUAAUACAGGGGGCUAAUGACGGUACCGUAAGAAUAAGCACCGGCUAACUACGUGCCAGCCGCCGCCGUAACAC